rnacentral:pre_miRNA from 1 species
UACAUACUCCCUCCAUUCGGAAUUACUUGUCCAAGAAAUGAAUGUAUCUAGAUGUGUUUUAGUUGUAGAUACAUCCAUUUUUGUGACAAGUAAUUCCGAACGGAGGGAGUACUAC